rnacentral:rRNA from 1 species
CAACAGGGAUUGCCCUAGUAACGGCGAGUGAAGCGGCAACAGCUCAAAUUUGAAAUCUGGCCUCGGCCCGAGUUGUAAUUUGCAGAGGAUGCUUCUGGCGCGGUGCCUUCCGAGUUCCCUGGAACGGGACGCCACAGAGGGUGAGAGCCCCGUAUGGUCGGACACCAAGCCUGUGUGAAGCUCCUUCGACGAGUCGAGUAGUUUGGGAAUGCUGCUCUAAAUGGGAGGUAAAUCUCUUCUAAAGCUAAAUACCGGCCAGAGACCGAUAGCGCACAAGUAGAGUGAUCGAAAGAUGAAAAGCACCUUGAAAAGGGGGUUAAAUAGUACGUGAAAUUGUUGAAAGGGAAGCACUUAUGACCAGACUUGGGCCGGGCGGCUCAUCAGGGGUUCUCCCCUGUGCACUCCGCCCGGCACAGGCCAGCAUCGGUUCUCGUGGGGGGAUAAGACCGUCAGGAACGUAGCACUCUCCGGAGUGUGUUAUAGCCUGGCGGACGAUACCCCCGUGGGGACCGAGGUCCGCGCAUUGCAAGGAUGCUGGCGUAAUGGUCAUCAGUGACCCGUCUUGAAACACG